UGUGGCUAUUAACAUUAAAAAAAGAUGAAAUUUUAAAUAUAAACUCUAUUUAUAAAUGAAUCUAUGUAUGCGAUUAAUAAUAAUAUCAUGAUAUAUUGAGUGAAAUGUUGUAAUGUAAUUAAGGUAUACUUUAAAUUUCUUAUUUGAAGUUGAAAGUAGUUGCUACUUUUUGGGCGUUAACCGUUUUGUGUAUUGAAACAAACAUGUACGGAAGAAAAACACCUUCAACAUAUCGUUCCACCCCUUCGGUGUAUUCUCAUUACACUGGAAAAUCGUCAACGAAUUUACGUUCGUCAAAAUCGGUUAGAUCAUUAAGAAUACCGUGGUAUCAAAAACCAAUACUACAUGAUGCGUUUGUGCUUGACCUGCAGAGGGGAUCGUUGCUAACAGCCAGUAUUUCUGUCUUUAUAGCAAUCUUCACAUUCACACAGAGUAUCUUUGAUCUGUACUGCAUGAUGCUGGCAACACCUGGGUCAUCCCAUUCCGGUCAUUAUGUGAUGAGCUUUCAAUUUGUUUACGUUGGAAGUGCACCAGUUCGCAACGUCCUCAUUGUCUUCUCACUCUUUUCUUGGAUUGGAUCUAUAGCAGUUCUAGUGACGAGCAUCAUAUUGAUAGUUGCUUUGAGAAAGGAAUACGAAAAGCGUAUAGUGCCAUGGCUCUACACAUUCGGCGUUUUCAUAUUAUUCCGCACAGUGGCCUUUAUAUUCGCGUCAAUAGUCAACGAUAUGAUAUUCGCGUAUAAUAUAAUGAUGUGCCUGUUUUGGAUUGUGUUCUCUGUGGUCGGCGUCUACGGUUGGCUGUUGGUGUACAGUUUGUACUUGGAGUUGGCCGAUUUGACCAAAUUGGAGGACUUGGCGCAUUUAAGGAUGGGUACCAUGGCAUCACUGAAUGCCUCACUCGCUGGAUCUCGCCCCACCACCCCACACUCCACGGUCUCCACAAUGCCGGCGUCGCAGAUAUGACCCACCAGUGACGAGGUGGUACCUCUCACUGACACAAGCCUCGAGACACCCGUGUGAAUAAACAUUCAGUUUUAAAUAUAGUGUUAGUGAUAAGUGCUGAUUAUGAAAAUGACCAUCUACCACCUAUCACCAAGCACUGUUGGUGAUCACCUUCAAUAUAAAGAAAUAUUGCUGUCUUAUAGAGAAGGUUUUGGACCUAAUUCAGUCUCAGAAUUUAAUCGGACGAUCACUAAGUUUAAAUUUAGCAGAUUACUAAAGUAAGGUGUGCUCGCCUGAAUUUAACAAUGUGUUAUUUGGUUAAUUUACAUGUUCUAUGGCUUAGGCUUAGUGUCUUAAGACUUUAGUUAUAAACGUUAUUCAGCGGAUGAUUUGUUAAACAAUGCUGCCUUCUUCUUUCGAAUGUCAAAUCAAUAAUGACAGAGCAAAAUCUGUUUUUAACUAAACAGCCCUGUGUUUUGGUUCAUUAAUUAUUAAUAAUAAUUGUUAAUUAACAAUAAAAUAUAAGCCGAGAUGGCCCAGUGGUUAGAAAGCGGGAAUCUUAACUGAUGAUCCUGGGUUCAAAUCCGGGCAUGCACUACUGAUUUUCAUGUGCUUAAUUUGUGUUUAUAAUUCAUCUCGUGCUUGACGGUGAAGGAAAACAUCAUGAGGAAACCUGUAUGUGUUUAAUUUCCCUGAAAUUCUGACACAUGUUUGUUUCACCAACCUGCGGGUUGGGAUAAGCUCCAAACCUUCUCCUCAAAAAGGAGAGGAGGCCUUAGCCCAGCAGUGGGACAUUCACAGGUUGUUACUUACUUAAUAAAAACUUUUCUUAUAUACAAUGGUAGCAACUCAUUCAUCCAUAAGUAUUGUAGGUGAAAAUGCCUGCUGUGUUGCAUCCAUUAUUACUAAGAUGUUUAUUAAAAAACAACAUUAAUCCACCUCGAGUGUUUUCUGAAGUGAUUGUAGCACAAUUUACAGCUUUUAGUAUCAAAUAUAGAUUUUAGUUAUAGUUUUUCUUACUGUUCAUUACUAAGAACCAUGUCAUACUUAUUCCUCGAACUGAUUAUAUUGUAAGUGAAUAUGAAAAAGUUCUAAAUGAAAUCUCUACACGUUUUUAAGAUGUCAAUAGGAUUAAUACUUAUUUCUAAGUGCCUUAUAGCAUUUAUAUUUUUUUUUUAUUUAAAACUUUGUAGAAUCUGUGGUCAUUAAUGACAUUUUAAUUGUAAUGAAAUUGCCAUAACAAAAAAUUGUAAACUUUUUUUAUUUAUGUCAUUCCAUAAAUAUAAAUGUAUUUAUAUUUAAAAAAUAGAAUAUAUAAAUUGAAAAAUAUAUGAUGAUUUUUUGUCUGUUCGUUUGGGGAAGUUUUAAACCAUAGCAGAUAUAGGUAACAGUUUUAUAUACCAUAUACCAUGAGAGGGGAAGUGUUUCCUCUCUCAUGGUAUAAGGUAGGUGUUUUCCUCUACCCUUAAAUGUUUAUGCAAAAUUUCAUGGUUCAUGAAUACUAGUAAGGAGUACUAUCCUGUAUCCGCUAUGGCUUAAGGUUUUACUCAGUUUGUUUUUUUAAAUGGAAUUUAAAACAAAACAAACUAUAUAUAAGCUAUUAAAAUAGAAUAUAUGAUUUAUACACUGAAAAAAAAUACAUUUGAAAAAUUUUUUUAUUAAAGGUUAAAUUUUGAGUU